GUGAGGAACCUGAAGCACAGAGAGGCUGUGGAAUCUGCUCAAGGUUCAGCUUGAAGCUCUGGAAGACAUGUGGCAAAAGCACCCUGUCAGCCGUGGACUCAUGCCACAGCCGCUUCUCCUUGUGACAGCUCCUACAAUGCCGCAUAAUAGUUCCUGUGUGAAUAUGUAUGAGAAAAUACUGAAACGAUGGCAAGAAAAAAGCAACUGGUCCCCUGCAUGAGUCUGUGAUGGGUCCCCUUGGACAGAAGCCUCUGCCAGGAGAACUGUAGAGACUGACACUACAAUAGAAGGAAGACAUUGGAGAAUUCGUAUGCUAUUUUAGCUGGCUCUGUGAUUGCAAUCACACAAAUCGCUACAUUCCAGAGAGAGCCCAGGAACAGAAGGUUUUUCCAUUUCAGUCUUUCAAGGUCUCCAGCUUGCAGAGAGUGGAUCAUGGGACUUGCCAGACUCUCUAAUCAGGAAAGCCAGAUUGUCAAACCAGCAUCUCACUUAGGCCUGGGAAGAUAUUUAGCCAUAAUGGUUCUGCCAACUCCUGACUCCUUAAACCCUGGACAUGUUCAAGCUGGAGCAAGAAAGACACUCCUUGAACAUGAAGGGUCACCUGCUCUAAAAUGCUGACCCUUGUUCUAGAUUUAAGGAGACAAAGGACAUCAGACAACCAAAUACAAUACGUUAUUCUUGACUGGAGCUCGAUCAGGGAAAAAUGCUAUAAAGGACAGUUUGGAAACAAUCUGGGAAAUGUGAGUAUGUUCUGUUUAAUCAGAUAUUUUUAUAACCAUGU